ACGCACGCUGGCGGCGUGCCUCAUACAUGCAAGUUGCGCGAUGAAGAUUGGUGCUUGCACCCAUUUGAAGAGCAGCGAACGGGUGAGUAACGCGUGGGGAAUCUGCCUUUGAGCGGGGGACAACAUUUGGAAACGAAUGCUAAUACCGCAUAACAACUUUAAACAUAAGUUUUAAGUUUGAAAGAUGCAAUUGCAUCACUCAAAGAUGAUCCCGCGUUGUAUUAGCUAGUUGGUGAGGUAAAGGCUCACCAAGGCGAUGAUACAUAGCCGACCUGAGAGGGUGAUCGGCCACAUUGGGACUGAGACACGGCCCAAACUCCUACGGGAGGCAGCAGUAGGGAAUCUUCGGCAAUGGACGAAAGUCUGACCGAGCAACGCCGCGUGAGUGAAGAAGGUUUUCGGAUCGUAAAACUCUGUUGGUAGAGAAGAACGUUGGUGAGAGUGGAAAGCUCAUCAAGUGACGGUAACUACCCAGAAAGGGACGGCUAACUACGUG
rnacentral:rRNA from 1 species